GUGCUCACUUUAGCAGCACAUAUACUAAAACUGGAACGAUACAGAGAAGAUUAGCAUGGCCCCAGCGCGAGGAUGACAAGCAAAUUCAUGAAGAGUUCCAUAUUUUU
ensembl:snRNA U6 U6 spliceosomal RNA